GGAGAAACCUCCCGCAGGCUCCCGGGCCAGGCGUGCAAGGCCCCCUCUCCUGCCAGGGCCCAGGACGCUGCGGGCCCCAGCGGAGGGGAAGGGGACUAAGUAGGGGAAGAAGCUGUAAACAGCCCCAGCGUCCGGGCCUCGCCUCGAAGAGCCGCGCUUCCCAGGCCCAGCCGCGGGCCGCCCAGGCCCCCAGCCUGCCCCGGGGCCGCCGCGCCCGGGGUCCGGGACACCGGAGGGGAGUCGGGUCCCCUCCCCGGAGAGCUCCGGGAGCUCGCGGAGCGGCCCCAGGAGCAGAGAAGGGGGAAGUCAGGACUUACCUGUCAUUACUUUCUACGCCAUCUUGGAUCCACUUGUCAACGUCCCCACAAAGCAUUAUGGGUAAGAAAGAGCCUUUAAAGUGACUCCCCCCGGCCCCCGACUCCCGCCUCCCGCCGCCGGCGCCGCCCCCUCCGGCCGCGCCUCCCGCCCGGAAAGUUGCCCCGGGUGGACUGCCGACCCCGGCGCCCGCAGCUGGCCCCUUCCCCUCCCCCGGGCUGACGGCAUUGAAAAUUCACCCGCAUUUUUAAAACGUGGCUUUGGGGUUUUCUCCCUUUCUCCUGCCCCGGCCUCCCUGCCCCCACGCCCGGUCCUCUCGCCUCGCCGCGUUCCUGCCCGGGCAGACGCCCCGCGUCUGCAUUGAAUCAACCCGAGGUUUCCUUGCCGCCCGCGGCGCGGCGCGGAGCUGCUCGCGGAUUUAUUUGUGCGCGUGGAUGUGAGCGUUUCUGCUCCUGCGGCCGCGCUUCCAGGAAGCCCGCGAGCGGCCGGGGUCGCCUUCAGAGGCCGCGCAGACCAGCUCCGCACCCGCCGCCCGGAGAGGUGCCUCUGCCCUGGGAAACCGCCCCGGGGCCGUUGGGCUCCGGGAACUGGGAGGACGCCGUGUCCCCGAGUCCACCAGCGUCGAAGCACGAUUUAAAAAAAAAAAUUGAGCCAAAUGCAACUUUUUACCCCUUGU
rnacentral:lncRNA from 1 species